GGUAAGGGUGUAACAAGGGGUGGUCGUUGGUGAACCAGCGGAGGGAGGUAUUACCGAGUUUACAACGGUCCAAACCCAAUGUGAACGUUACCAAGGUUGUUGCCUCGGCGGGAUUCUCUGCCCCGGGCGCGUCGCAGCCCCGGAUCCCAUGGCGCCCGCCGGAGGACCAACUCAAACUCUUUUUUCUCUCCGUCGCGGCCUACGUCGCGGCUCUGUUUUAUUUUUGCUCUGAGCCUUUCUCGGCGACCCGGUCGGGCGUCUCGAAAAUGAAUCAAAACUUUCAACAACGGAUCUCUUGGUUCUGGCAUCGAUGAAGAACGCAGCGAAAUGCGAUAAGUAAUGUGAAUUGCAGAAUUCAGUGAAUCAUCGAAUCUUUGAACGCACAUUGCGCCCGCCAGUAUUCUGGCGGGCAUGCCUGUCCGAGCGUCAUUUCAACCCUCGAACCCCUCCGGGGGGUCGGCGUUGGGGAUCGGCCCCUCACCGGGCCGCCCCCGAAAUACAGUGGCGGUCUCGCCGCAGCCUCUCCUGCGCAGGGUUUUGCACACUCGCACCGGGAGCGCGGCGCGGCCACAGCCGUAAAACACCCCAAACUCUGAAAUGUUGACCUCGGAUCAGGGGUGAAUACCCGCUGAACUUAAGCAUAUCAAUAAGCG
rnacentral:rRNA from 1 species